rnacentral:lncRNA from 1 species
UUGAUUGGAUAAAAUAUUAUACGUAGAUAUACUAAAGAUGAUUAUUUAUGUCAAUCUACGUAUUCUCUGAAAAGAAGUGUACACUUUCAUGUAUAUAGUGCUCCUUGUGCAGUAAUACUGUCAGUAUAUUAGUGUAUGUGGUCCUUUGUCUAAGAUGAAGAGUGAGGACAAAUAGUGUGGGGAAUACUUUAGCAUGCUCUCUGAAUAGUCUGCAGGAGUUUGGAGGAGAAAAAAAGGAAUAGUGUCCACGUCAAGUCCGAAUCCUCAUUCUUCGUGUCCAUGGAAAAAUUAGUAAUAUUCAAACUUAUGCCCGUAUUCACUUUGGUCCUUAGAUCGGAAUUUAAAUUCCAACAGAAUAUUUCGAAGAGUAAUGUCAUAAUUAGUAGUUACUAUGAAUUACAGAAAUAUAUUUUGAAUCCCAUUGCUGUCAUCAUCAUUGCAACGUACCGAAAAAAUUACUUUGAAGUAAAUUAGUUAUGUCAGUUUUUCAAUACCAACUUCCUUUUCCGACGAAGGAGGUCAAGUUCUAGGCAAAUGGAUGGGAUUGACGUCACGAAGGAAAUAUUUUGUUAAGAAAUAAGCGAUCCGAAUGAUUUUAUAUUUGGAAGUUCAUAGCAGAGGUGGAAGAAAAGGAAUAAUAACAAAAUUCUUAAGGUAGAUUUCCAGUGUAGUGUGAAUUAACAUUAAUUGUGUAAAUGUACAUUGUCCGUGUUAUUUUCCAUCAUUCAUGAACACACGCACUUCAUACCUAAAUGUUCCCUCCUUAAGAAUGAACUAUUAAUGAUAACAGUUUCACAAGAAAAAAAAAACA